rnacentral:rRNA from 1 species
GAUUUCUGGUACGGCGCACUUGGCCCGCCCCGGUUACGGGGUUGUGUGCCGGUGUGCGCCUGCCAUCCUUCUAGUAAUUGCUACUUCUUCCCUUUACUGGGCUUGGAGUAGUGAUCUAGAUCAUUUACUUUGAAAAAAUUAGAGUGUUUAAAGCAGGCUUGUGCUAUGAAUACAUUAGCAUGGAAUAAUAAUUUAGGACUUUGGCCCUAUUUUGUUGGUUUCUAGGACUGAAGUAAUGAUUGAUAGGGAUAGUUGGGGGUGCUCGAAUUCAGCGGCCAGAGGUGAAAUUCUUGGAUUCGCUGAAGACGAACUCAUGCGAAAGCAUU